rnacentral:rRNA from 1 species
GSCCGGACKGKAWUKGKUUSCCCUWSCCWCUGCRAGWGAAGCGGGAAAAGCUCAAAUUUAAAAUCUGGCGGUCUUUGGCCGUCCGAGUUGUAGUCUGGAGAAGUGCUUUCCGCGCUGGACCGUGUAUAAGUUCUCUUGGAACAGAGCGUCAUAGAGGGGUGAGAAUCCCGUCUUUGACACGGACUACCAGUGCUUUGUGAUGCGCUCUCAAAGAGUCGAGUUGUUUGGGAAUGCAGCUCAAAAUGGGUGGUGAAUUCCAUCUAAAGCUAAAUAUUGGCGAGAGACCGAUAGCGAACAAGUACCGUGAGGGAAAGAUGAAAAGCACUUUGGAAAGAGAGUUAAACAGUACGUGAAAUUGCUGAAAGGGAAACGCUUGAAGUCAGUCGCGUCGGCCGGAACUCAGCCUUGCUUUUGCUUGGUGCACUUUCCGGUUGACGGGCCAGCAUCGAUUUUGACCGUCGGAAAAGGGCUAGAGUAAUGUGGCACCUCCGGGUGUGUUAUAGACUCUAGUCGCAUACGGCGGUUGGGAUCGAGGAACGCAGCGCGCCGCAAGGCAGGGGUUCGCCCACUUUCGCGCUUAGGAUGCUGGCAUAAUGGCUUUAAACGACCCGUCUUGAAACACGGACCAAGGAGUCUAACAUACCUGCGAGUGUUUGGGUGGAAAACCCGAGCGCGUAAUGAAAGUGAAAGUUGGGACCUCUGUCGUGGUAGGGCACCGACGCCCGGACCUGACGUUCUCUGACGGAAUCCGCGGGUAGAGCAUGUAUGUUGGGACCCGAAAGAUGGUGAACUAUGCCUGAAUAGGGUGAAGCCAGAGGAAACUCUGGUGGAGGCUCGYAGCGAUUCUGACGUGCAAAUCSAUCGUAAAUUUGGGUAUAGGGGCGAAAGACUAAUCCGAACCCUU